GCCAGCAGCGCGGGUAAGACAAAUGUGGCNAGCGUUGUUCGGAAUCACUGGGCAUAAAGGGCACGUAGGCGGCGUAGUAAGUUAACUGUGAAAUCCCCCGGCUCAACCGGGGAACUGCAGUUAAUACUGCUGUGCUAGAGUGCAGAAGAGGAGAGUGGGAUUCUAGGUGUAGCGGUGGAAUGCGAAGAUAUCUAGGAGAAGGCCGGUGGCGAAAGCGACCCUCUGGUCUGUUACUGACGCUGAGGUGCGAGAGCGCAGGUAGCGAACGGGAUUAGAUACCCCGGUAGUCUGUGCCGUAAACGAUGGGCACUAGAUGGUGGAGGCGCCGAUAGCUUUCUCCGUCGCAGCUAAUACGUUAAGUGCCCCGCCUGGGGAGUAUGGCCGCAAGGUUAAAACUCAAAGGAAUUGACGGGGGCCCACACAAGCGGUGGAGGAUGUGGCUUAAUUCGAGGAUACCCGUAAAACCUUACCGAGGCUUGACAUGCAGGUGGUAGUGAAGUGAAAGCGGAACGACCCGAAUAGGGAGCCUGCACAGGUGCUGCAUGGCUGUCGACAGCUCGUGUCGUGAGAUGUUAGGUUAAAUCCUGUAACGAGCGAAACCCUUGUGCUUAAUUGCCAGCGCGUUAUGGCGGGGACCUUAAGCAGACUGCCCCGGCCAACGGGGAGGAAGGUGGGGAUGACGUCAAGUCAGCAUGGCCUUUAUGCCUCGGGCUGCACACGUCCUACAAUGGGCUGUACAAUGGGGACCCAAACCGCAAGGUGGAGGAAAUCCUAUAAAGCAGUCCUCAGUUCGGAUUGCAGGCUGAAAUUCGCCUGCAUGAAGAUGGAAUCGCUAGUA
rnacentral:rRNA from 1 species